CAAGAAGGAACACAUUCCGGGAAGGCAAGGAGCCCUGCCAGCACGAAGGCAGCAGCGAAAGCAGGGCUCUGCUGGGUACCAGGUGUUCCUUGGCUCUGUGGAGGUCAGGCACGCAGGCGGAUGAACUCAGGUUUCUCUAGAAUAUCAUUUCAGAGGCUUAAAUGCCUCCCACCCUCUCGCUGUCAGCGGACAGGGCAUGUGGAACUGUUAAACGUUAAAACUCUCUGCUCUGGGGCCCAGCCCGUGCUCUCUAAAUAAAGGUAGGAGCGGAAAGAGUGUUGUUGCCAUCAUGAAAUCACACUUCACAGGAGCCAGAUUUCGGCGAUUCUGUGUCUAAGAGAAAAUGCUAAUCCAAACAAGGGCAGGUUGGAGAAGAGCCUGGGAUUUCUAUGCCCUAGAAACUGCACUCUCCACCCUUGCAGCCCAGAAACACAAACACACACACACUUGUUCUCCACGCCUGCCUUCCGAGUGGCCAGAGCUGGGGGAAGUCUGGAGAGCCCUCGGAAACGCCGUCCUUUCAGAAUCAGCGCUGGCCCUUCCCCAGGUGAUGAGAGAAGAGAGCGAGGAGGACCAAAGCGGAAGCGGAUAGAGCCAUUCUUUUCGGGGCAAAUGGCCACACAAGCCUUCCUGAAGAUUCCCUUCUUACUUUGGAUAGGGCUUGGGACACCUUAGAAAUGUU
rnacentral:lncRNA from 1 species